UUUCCGUAGGUGAACCUGCGGAAGGAUCAUUAUCAAUAAUUGACUGGGUUGUAGCUGGAAUUCCGUGGCAUGUGCACGCGCUGCUCAUUCACUCUACUCCAGUGUACUUCCUGUGGGUAUCAGAUCGUGCUGCAUCCUCUUUUACCGCAGCUUGGGAAGCGUUUCUGUGCCUGCGUUUUUCUCAAACACGAUAAAGUAUCAGAAUCUGUAUUACGUUGUAUAGCUUCAAUAUACAACUUUCAGCAACAGAUCACUUGUCUCCCGCAUCGACGAUGAACA
rnacentral:misc_RNA from 1 species